UACAGGGGGUGCAAACGUUGCUCGGAAUCAUUGGGCGUAAAGGGUGCGUAGGCGGUUGGGUAAGUCUGAUGUGAAAUCUCACAGCUUAACUGUGAAACUGCAUUGGAUACUAUCCAACUCGAGGAAUGGAGGGGAGACUGGAAUACUUGGUGUAGCAGUGAAAUGCGUAGAUAUCAAGUGGAACACCAGUGGCGAAGGCGAGUCUCUGGACAUUUCCUGACGCUGAGGCACGAAAGCCAGGGGAGCAAACGGG
rnacentral:rRNA from 1 species